CUUGACGACCAUAGAACAUUGGAACCACCUGAUCCCAUCCCGAACUCAGUAGUGAAACGAUGCAUCGCCGAUGGUAGUGUGGGGUUUCCCCAUGUGAGAGUAGGUCAUCGUCAAGA
rnacentral:rRNA from 1 species